rnacentral:rRNA from 1 species
UACGUAGGGUGCGAGCGUUAAUCGGAAUUACUGGGCGUAAAGUGUGCGCAGGCGGCCGCGCAAGUCGAGUGUGAAAGCCCCGAGCUUAACUUGGGAAUUGCGCUCGAAACUACGUGGCUGGAGUGUGGCAGAGGAAGGUGGAAUUCCAGGUGUAGCGGUGAAAUGCGUAGAGAUCUGGAGGAACACCGAUGGCGAAGGCAGCCUUCUGGGCCAACACUGACGCUCAUGCAC